AUUGAACGCUGGCGGCAUGCCUUACACAUGCAAGUCGAACGGUAACAGGUCUUCGGAUGCUGACGAGUGGCGAACGGGUGAGUAAUACAUCGGAACGUGCCCGAUCGUGGGGGAUAACGAAGCGAAAGCUUUGCUAAUACCUCAUAAGAUCUGCGGAUGAAAGCGGGGGACCGCAAGGGCUUGCGCGAACGGAGCGGCCGAUGGCAGAUUAGGUAGUUGGUGGGAUAAAAGCUUACCAAGCCGACGAUCUGUAGCUGGUCUAAGAGGACGACCAGCCACACUGGGACUGAGACACGGCCCAGACUCCUACGGGAGGCAGCAGUGGGGAAUUUUGGACAAUGGGCGAAAGCCUGAUCCAGCCAUGCCGCGUGCAGGAUGAAGGCCUUCGGGUUGUAAACUGCUUUUGUACGGAACGAAAAGACUCUGGUUAAUACCUGGGGUCCAUGACGGUACCGUAAGAAUAAGCACCGGCUAACUACGUGCCAGCAGCCGCCGUAA
rnacentral:rRNA from 1 species